GGAGAGGUGUCAGAGCGGUUGAAUGAACAGGUUUCGAAAACCUGCAUGGCCGCAAGGUCAUCGAGGGUUCGAAUCCCUCCCUCUCCGCCA
rnacentral:tRNA from 1 species